ACGGUUGACCUCGGAUCAGGUAGGAAUACCCGCUGAACUUAAG
rnacentral:rRNA from 1 species